UGAGGAAUAUUGGGCAAUGCCCGAAAGGGUGGCCCAGCAACGCCGCGUGGAGGAUGAAGGUCGUAAGAUUGUAAACUCCUGUUAGAGGGGAAGAAUAACUAAGUUUGGAGCUUAGUAUGACUGUACCCUCAGAGAAAGCCCCGGCUAACUACGUGCCAGCAGCCGCGGUAAUACGUAGGGGGCAAGCGUUGUCCGGAUUUACUGGGUGUAAAGGGCGCGCAGGCGGAAUGGAAAGUCAGUGGUGAAAUCCUACAGCUUAACUGUAGAACUGCCUUUGAUACUUUCAUUCUUGAGUUCGGGAGAGAGAGACGGAAUUCCAGGUGUCGUGGUGAAAUACGUAGAUAUCUGGAAGAACACCAGUUGCGAAGGCGGUCUCUUGGUCCGAUACUGACGCUGAGGCGCGAAAGCGUGGGGAGCAAACA
rnacentral:rRNA from 1 species